UACAGGGGGGGCAAGCGUUGUUCGGAAUUACUGGGCGUAAAGGGCUCGUAGGUGGCCAACUAAGUCAGACGUGAAAUCCCUCAGCUUAACUGGGGAACUGCGUCUGAUACUGGAUGGCUUGAGUUUGGGAGAGGGAUGCGGAAUUCCAGGUGUAGCGGUGAAAUGCGUAGAUAUCUGGAGGAACACCGGUGGCGAAGGCGGCAUCCUGGACCAGCACUGACGCUCAUGCACGAAAGCGUGGGGAGCAAACAGG
rnacentral:rRNA from 1 species